rnacentral:lncRNA from 1 species
CUGCGUUUCCCACUUUUCUGCGGCGUUUGUGCUCCGCUUGGCGUGAACCUGGGCCUCACGAUCGCCCUUGUUUUACUGGGAGCAGCGAUAAAAGUGCAGCUUCCCGAGAAGCUGGAGAUGUGCCAGCUGGUUUUGUGGGCAGCGUAACCAGAAGCAGAAUGAAGUGAUCGGUCCUCAGCAAAAGGCUCCCGUCAGAGCUCAGGCCGGACCCUGCCGCGGGGACAUCCACGGGGUCAGCGUCUCGUGAUGGGCAGACRUCAGAAGGGCAAAUUUUUCAUAAUGAAAAGCAGAAAAGAAAUUUAACAUGUUUUCCCAGUGAACAUUUUCCUGAAGAAAAAGUCUUUCAGCAAAAGAAGAAAACUGGGGAAAUGAAAAAUAAUAUUCUCCAAGUAGCAGGCUUCAGAGCCGGUACGAUGUUUGCACUCUGUUAAUUCAAGGGUUCCUGCAGAAUGAAAAGGAACAAGUAUCUCCCCUCAUCGGUGAGCUGUCCUGAUUGCAGUGGAAACAGAUGUGCUGCGGCUCUCUGAACCCGGCCUCGCAGAAACUGCCUCCAGCCAAACAGUAGCUGCAGCAAGAGCCGCGCGUUCGCCGCUCGCCCCGCGACACCCCGCGUUCUGCUCACCUACCCGCCACUGAGACUUCAAAGUCUAAUUGAAGUAUUUAAAAGUCAGAUUUUUAACACAUGCAUUUUCUUAAAGAAAAAAGAUGGAAAAAGGAAAUUAAAUUCUCUCUGAGAUUACAUGGUUGGAACAACAGCAGUAAAGGAAAAUGCACAAGUUGGAGUGGUUUCUAAUGCUAAGCUGGCUACAUUGGAUAUCUUAUAUAUUUAAUUAUAUACAUUUGAUACCAUGCAGAAAUAUUAUUAAAUUUCACACUUAAACAGGGACAAACAAAUCUAAAAAAUUUAUUACAUAUGUUCAGUGUGGCUGAAUGAACAUUCCUG